rnacentral:lncRNA from 10 species
ACCCAGGCCUUGCACCUGGAUCAAUGGGCUGCCCUAAUGAAGGAUAUCAAAAAUGAAGGGGCAGCUAAAGAAAAAUAAAAGACACCUCAGAAAGUAGCCUGCCUCUUUGACAAGGGACAUGCCUUCAGAGGAACAUAACAGAAACCUCUGAGAAUUGUCAACAAUAAAAAGACUGAGCAACAAGGGAAACUGGUAGGAAGCCAAAGGUUUUAAGAGGUGAGAGUGGAGAAAUGCUGUGCUUUUAUUGAUCCUCUCCAAAGGAACACCUUUAAAAAAGGGCAAAAAUCAAGUUACCAGGAAAAUAUUUUUUAAAAACCACGAACAGUCUAAGAGCACUGAACAUUUUGAAUCAUUUGCCUUUUCUCAACACUGGAUUUUAAGCAAGGAACAAGACUAUUCCAGUUCUAAAUGCUUUAAUGAACAAGGGGUAUUGGGUUUUAGCAUCAACAUGAUCUAUCCUCACUCUGAAGCUUUAACUUGAGUAGCUGCUGUGCUUUGUAAAGCUUCAAUCCAAUUCAUUUGAUAACUACAAUUACCAAAUCUGGGCAUUGCUGACUACACAGUUCAAAAAAGCCUCAUCAGUGUGAAGAUUAUUGAUGCCAGCAAGUGAAUUAAAGGAAUUAAAGUCAGAAUUCCGCAUUAUCACAUUCAACAAGUAUCGAAUGAGCAUCUUCUAUAUG